UCUCUCGUUUCUCCUCCCUGAGCGAGUUGUCUUAACCCUUCCUACUGUUAAGACACUUUAUGCCCUUGGCUUCCCCCUUUUAGCCAAGGGCAUUUUUUU
rnacentral:ncRNA from 1 species